UAAGGAAUAUUGGGCAAUGGGCGAAAGCCUGACCCAGCGACACCGCGUGGAUGAUGAAGGUCUUCGGGUUGUAAAAUCCUAACACGCGUAGAGAAGGGUACAUCAAAUAAUACAUGGUGUAAUCGGACAAAGGCGCGAGAUGAAGUCAUUGCUAACUCUGUGCCAGCAGCAGCGGUAAUACAGAGAUGGCGACCGUUGUUCGGAAUCACUGGGCUUAAAGGGCAUGUAGGCGGAGAGAAAAGUUGAAAGUGAAAGCCCAUGGCUUACCCAUGGAAUAGCUAUCAAAACUAUCUCUCUUGAGUGAGGUAGGGGGGAGUGGAACUCCUGGUGGAGCGGUGAAACGCGUUGAUAUCAGGAGGAACGCCGGAGGCGAAAGCGACUCUCUGGACCUCAACUGACGCUGAGGUGCGAAAGCUGGGGGAGCAAACG
rnacentral:rRNA from 1 species